rnacentral:rRNA from 1 species
AACGUAGGAGGCGAGCGUUAUCCGGAUUUACUGGGCGUAAAGCGCACGCAGGCGGCUUCGUUAGUCGGAUGUGAAAGCUCCUGGCUUAACUGGGAGAGGCCAUUCGAUACUGCGGGGCUUGAGAUUGGGAGAGGGGUGCGGAAUUCCCGGUGUAGUGGUGGAAUGCGUAGAUAUCGGGAGGAACACCAGUGGCGAAGGCGGCACCCUGGCCCACAUCUGACGCUGAGGUGCGAAAGCGUGGGGAGCAAACAGG